CCACAGCCAGCUCGCGUCUCGGUCCACGCUGCCCGUCGCCGCCGCCAUGGGAGUGCAGGUGGAGACCAUCUCCCCCGGAGACGGGCGCACCUUCCCGAAGCGAAGCGCGGCCAGACCUGCGUGGUGCACUACACGGGGAUGCUUGAAGAUGGAAAGAAAUUUGAUUCCUCCCGGGACAGAAACAAGCCCUUUAAGUUUAUGAUAGGCAAGCAGGAGGUGAUCCGAGGCUGGGAAGAAGGGGUUGCCCAGAUGAGUGUGGGCCAGAGAGCCAAACUGACUAUCUCCCCAGACUACGCCUACGGUGCCACUGGACACCCAGGCAUUAUCCCACCAAACGCCACUCUCGUCUUUGACGUGGAACUUCUAAAACUGGAAUGACAGGAAUGGCCUCCUUGUUAGCUCCCAGUUCUUGGAUGUGCCAUGGAGAGACCUGGCGCCUCCAGAUGCGUGCAGGCGAGUCCACCCGGAGCUUUUCCUGAUGUUCCACUACACUCUUUGUGUAAACAUCUACCCCGACUGAAUGUGUCUGUCACCCAGCUUCGCUCCUCCCCUUUCUCCUCGUAUGUGUGUUGACCUAAACUAUAUGCCAUAAACCUCAAGUUAUUCAU